rnacentral:rRNA from 1 species
GACGAACCGUACGAACGUUAUUCGGAAUCACUGGGCUUAAAGGGUGCGUAGGCUGCGCAGCAAGUUGGGUGUGAAAUCCCUCGGCUUAACCGAGGAACUGCGCCCAAAACUGCUGUGCUCGAGGGAGACAGAGGUGAGCGGAACUUAGGGUGGAGCGGUGAAAUGCGUUGAUAUCCUAAGGAACACCGGUGGCGAAAGCGGCUCACUGGGGUCUCUUCUGACGCUGAGGCACGAAAGCUA